AUUGAACGCUGGCGGCAGGCCUAACACAUACAAGUCGAGCGGAUGAAGGGAGCUUGCUCCUGGAUUCAGCGGCGGACGGGUGAGUAAUGCCUAGGAAUCUGCCUGGUGGUGGGGGAUAACGUCCGGAAACGGGCGCUAAUACCGCAUACGUCCUGAGGGAGAAAGUGGGGGAUCUUCGGACCUCACGCUAUCAGAUGAGCCUAGGUCGGAUUAGCUAGUUGGUGGGGUAAAGGCCUACCAAGGCGACGAUCCGUAACUGGUCUGAGAGGAUGAUCAGUCACACUGGAACUGAGACACGGUCCAGACUCCUACGGGAGGCAGCAGUGGGGAAUAUUGGACAAUGGGCGAAAGCCUGAUCCAGCCAUGCCGCGUGUGUGAAGAAGGUCUUCGGAUUGUAAAGCACUUUAAGUUGGGAGGAAGGGCAGUAAGUUAAUACCUUGCUGUUUUGACGUUACCAACAGAAUAAGCACCGGCUAACUUCGUG
rnacentral:rRNA from 1 species